AAUCGAAUCAAGAAACAAGGUUACAAAGACAGCAGAAGAGGUUCUGAAUGCAGUUCUCAACUCAAAUGACACUGAUGAAGAUUCUGACAGUAAGGGAAGUGACAAUGAAGAGAUCCUAAGUGCUGUUGCACAGAAGAAGAAAAAG